CGCGCAACUCAUAACCCUGGGGCCUGCGGGGCCGGGGAAGGCAGGCGGAAAGCCGCGGCUGCGCUCCCAGCCAAAGCCCUGCCAGCACCUACCUCGGCCACGGCACCGGGGGGAUUGGGGAGAAGGGGCAAAAAGCACGCCGCGACACAAACCAACCCCCCAAACGCGGCCGAGAACGUUUCACAGUGCAGGCCGAGCCUAGCCGAGUCCUUCAGCAAGGCGUUCAGGUGGCAAAGUUUCCUGUUCUCGGGGCAAAUGAGAAAAGGCUAAAAACGAAUCGGUUUGCGAUCAGGAGUUGGUAGAGGUCACCAGCUAUAAACAUUUAUUGUCAAGGGCCACUUUUAUUAUUUUAUGUCCCUAAGACGGAGAAAAUGCCGUCACUUUUCGUCUCUAGGAUGGUGUGGUCGUUUUCCAAAACAGCAUCUGCCAGGUGCAUUUAAUCGUUCGGGAAACUUUGUUUUUAAACUUUCCAGAAAUUAUUCCUGCCCCGCGUCUCCUUUUACCAGCUCCGUACGAGGCAUCGCAAGGUUAAAUUCAAAUCCAGAUUUUCCAAUUGCACUUGCGAGGGGAAAAGAACCAAGUUUAUUGUUGCGCGUCAGGGGGAGCGAAGCUGCUUUUUGCACGGCCAGGAGUUUGCAACUUCUUGGAGGAAAAAAAAAAAAAAAAAAAAAAGA